UUUUGACCUGGCUCAGAUUGAACGCUGGCGGCAGGCCUAACACAUGCAAGUCGAACGGUAACAGGAAGCAGCUUGCUGCUUUGCUGACGAGUGGCGGACGGGUGAGUAAUGUCUGGGAAACUGCCCGAUGGAGGGGGAUAACUACUGGAAACGGUAGCUAAUACCGCAUAACGUCGCAAGACCAAAGAGGGGGACCUUCGGGCCUCUUGCCAUCGGAUGUGCCCAGAUGGGAUUAGCUAGUAGGUGGGGUAACGGCUCACCUAGGCGACGAUCCCUAGCUGGUCUGAGAGGAUGACCAGCCACACUGGAACUGAGACACGGUCCAGACUCCUACGGGAGGCAGCAGUGGGGAAUAUUGCACAAUGGGCGCAAGCCUGAUGCAGCCAUGCCGCGUGUAUGAAGAAGGCCUUCGGGUUGUAAAGUACUUUCAGCGGGGAGGAAGGGAGUAAAGUUAAUACCUUUGCUCAUUGACGUUACCCGCAGAAGAAGCACCGGC
rnacentral:rRNA from 1 species